CCCCUGAUGGUCCAAUGGUUAGGGCUCGACACUUCCACUGCUGGGGUCUGGGUUCAAUCCCUGGUCAGAGAA
rnacentral:tRNA from 1 species